rnacentral:rRNA from 1 species
UACGGAGGGGGGCUAGCGUUGUUCGGAAUUACUGGGCGUAAAGCGCGCGUAGGCGGACCUGCAAGUCGGGGGUGAAAGCCCGAGGCUCAACCUCGGAACUGCCUUCGAUACUGCGGGUCUCGAGUCCGGGAGAGGUGAGUGGAAUUCCUAGUGUAGAGGUGAAAUUCGUAGAUAUUAGGAAGAACACCAGUGGCGAAGGCGGCUCACUGGCCCGGUACUGACGCUGAGGCGCGAAAGCUAGGGGGAGCAAACGGG